rnacentral:rRNA from 1 species
GAUGAACGCUAGCGGGAGGCUUAACACAUGCAAGUCGAGUGGUAUUGCCCUUCGGGGUGAGAGAGCGGCGCACGGGUGCGUAACGCGUAUGCAACCUGCCUUAUGCAGGGGGAUAGCCCGGGGAAACCGGAUUAAUACUCCAUAGAUCAUUGGAUCCGCAUGGAUCAGAUGGUAAAGAUUUAUCGGCAUAAGAUGGGCAUGCGUCUGAUUAGCUAGUUGGUAGGGUAACGGCCUACCAAGGCGACGAUCAGUAGGGGUUCUGAGAGGAUAAUCCCCCACACUGGUACUGAGACACGGACCAGACUCCUACGGGUGGCUG